GAGUAACUGCUUGUCCCUUGACGGUAUCUAACCAGAAAGCCACGGCUAACUACGUGCCAGCAGCCGCGGUAAUACGUAGGUGGCAAGCGUUGUCCGGAUUUAUUGGGCGUAAAGCGCGCGCAGGCGGGCUUUUAAGACUGAUGUGAAAGCCCCCGGCUUAACCGGGGAGGGUCAUUGGAAACUGGAAGACUGGAGUGCAGAAGAGGAGAGGGGAAUUCCACGUGUAGCGGUGAAAUGCGUAGAUAUGUGGAGGAA
rnacentral:rRNA from 1 species